AACGAACGCUGGCGGCGUGGAUUAGGCAUGCAAGUCGAACGCGAAAGAGGGGGUAACUCCUCGAGUAGAGUGGCGAACGGGUGAGUAACACGUGAGAAACCUGCCUUCAGCAGGGGGAUAACACUCCCAACGGGGUGCUAAUACCGCAUGAGACCACGGAUUCGCAUGGAUCUGGGGUCAAAGGUGGCCUCUGCUUGCAAGCUACCGGCUGAAGAUGGUCUCGCGCCCAUUAGCUAGUUGGUGGGGUAAUGGCCCACCAAGGCGACGAUGGGUAGCUGGUCUGAGAGGAUGGUCAGCCACAC
rnacentral:rRNA from 1 species